AGGCUGGGCUGUGAGCUAGCGGGCGUGGAGAGUGAAGCCCCGCCUGGCCCCCCUUCCACACUGGAAGCCUCUCUGUGGCUGAUGGGAGGACCAGGGCUGAUGAAAGGAUGGAGCCAUGAAGGGCAGCCCUCCUGCUGCGGGUCGCCCUGCUGCUGCCCUGGGCCUGCAGCUCCUGGCACGUGGGUCUCUGGGACUCCUUGUGGAUGUGCCUCUCCAGGGCCCUCCAUCCUCGGUGGGCAGGAGACUCCCCUAGGGAGCUUGCUCUCAAGUUCUCAAUAGCAUACACACGGCUGCCACAAAUACACAGAAGUUUUGGGAAUUAGCUCUGUGAGACAGGCCUAUUUCAGAUAAGAAAAAUGAGGAUCAGAGAAGCUGAAAGUCUUGCGGAGGACACCCCAGCAAGGCGAAUUACAGGCCCAGAAUUCUAACGAGGGCAUCCGGACUCUGGGAUUACAACCGCCUUCUGCGUCCCAGGAAAAACCUCCUCUAGUCAUGCCCAGAUCUGCCUGGUCUAAAAACCACAAAAAUCGCAGGACUUUCCACUGAGUCAAUGCUUGUCACGUCUAGAGACCUGGAUCGAGCUGUUUCCUUCCAUUCACAGAGCCGUCCUGCAGGAGAGAUGUUACUUUUACCAUCAAUGUAAAAACUGAGCCUUAAACUGCUUCAGAAACUGUUUAGAUUCAUUCAACUGAAUAUUCACACUGGAGUUUGAAUCAAGGCCUACGUGGCUUUAGAAAUUUAAGAUCCAAACCGUACCACUGUGGUACCUGACAUCCUUCAUGCACCUCCCUCAUCUUCAGAGAAACAAUUCUAAUUCUUCACUUUAAAGCAAGGUAGGGUGACUUUCCAAUGACUUCAGGGCAUUCGGUAAAGAACAGCUUGGUUCAAAGUAAGUUGAUGAGCACAGCAAUUUCUUCAUAAUGGCAACCUGGUUAAAAAAAAAUAAAAUAAACCCAUACCUGGCUUUGGGAAGGAAGUUGUUUGUUUUAAUGUUUUGUAUUUGGACUUGCAUCACAUAGAGUGGUGAUUUUUUUCAACAUUUUGUGUGUCACUUAACAUUUUUAAAAAUAAAGUCUUACAAGCUGUGAAACAAUGUGAACAUCCUGAUCCUAUCUCUGUAAAAUAUGAUGGGUGCACAUUGAUAGACGAGGGUGUGGAAAGUUACAUCUGAAGGUGGCAACAGGAGUUGCCUCUGCAUGUGUGGAAUUAGAAGGAUUGUUGAUUUCAUUUAUUUAUCUGAAUAUACGAUAGAGAAAGUUCAAGUAGCACAGAUGGCUGCACAAUGAAGAGGAAUUUCACCUCUUACACUCAUUCUCAGUCCACUCGCCAAAGGCAAUUACAUGGAUAUGUAUUCUUCCUGAAAUAUUCUUUUCAUACACAAUCGUGUAUAAAAUCGUGUAUGAAAAAAAGUCUGCUCAUCAUGUAGUGUGUGUUUAUAUAUAAAUGUACUUAUUUAUAUA
rnacentral:misc_RNA from 1 species